rnacentral:tRNA from 1 species
GGCUCCGUAGUGAAAUUCAUAUUGAGUUGCAAGCUCAUUGAUGCACAUUGGAAAUGUGCCGGGGCCU